AGUGAACGCUGGCGGCGUGCCUAAUACAUGCAAGUCGAACGGAGUGGCGCACGGGUGAGUAAUGUAUAGCUAAUCUGCCCUACACUAGAGGACAACAGUUGGAAACGGCUGCUAAUACUCUAUAGUGUAGGAUGAGGCUAUAUUGUAUCAGCUAGUUGGUGAGGUAAUGGCUCACCAAGGCUAUGACGCAUAACUGGUCUGGGAGAAUGAUCAGUCAUACUGAAAAAAAGAUACGGUCCAAACUCUAGCGGGAGGGAGCAGUAGGGAAGAUUGAUCAAUGGGGAAAACACUGAAGCAGCAACGACGCGUGGAGGAUGACACUUUUCGGAGAGUAAACUCCUUUUGUUAGGGGAGCAGUAACUAACGAAUAAGCACCGGGUAACUCCGUGCCAGCAGCCGCAGUAAUAC
rnacentral:rRNA from 1 species